AUCUUCCAGAUCUCCCCAUUUUGUCAAAAUGACAGUAUUCCAUUGUAUAUUGUAGCAAUCAGAUCGCCCACUGUGUAUAUAGACAUUUUCUUUAUCUACCCAGUUGCCGAUGGGCACCUGUGAGGACUUCGUACUUUAAUCACUGUUGAACAAUAGGCCAUAGCCAUACCCUCAAGUUCUGGGGAGUACCCAAGAGCAAUUACAAUAUCAUGUGGCAUUCAAGGGCGCUAUGGACUCCAUCGUUCAACAGCUCCAACAGACACAACCAUUUCUGGACCCAGGAUUCUUCUUUGCCAGUCUGUGAUACAUAAGUCAAGACACUGGGGUCAUUGAUCCAUUUUGAGUUGAACCUUGUGAGAGUGAGAGACAGAGGUGUCAUUUCAUUCUCCUAUAUGCAUAUGAUGCUACAAAUUUCACUUAGAAUUAACUUCAUUGUGUCCCAUUAAAUGAAAAGAAAAAUGUUGGAAAUCUGGCUAAAGCAAA